UUCUGAAAAUUCUGUACCAGAACAUGUUUUUGCAGAAGAGUCUAUAAAACUGUCUGUACAAUACAUAUACAUGCAAAAUGUAUACUGAGUAUUCUACAGCAUAAAUAAUUGUAAAACAGUUCAGACAUAUAUAUGUAUAGAUGGACUUAAGACAAUCAAAGUUAUUAUAUAUCCUCUCAAGAUUAACAAGCCAAUAUGGGCCUUAUCAUCUCAAGGCUAACAAGGCUGUAUGGGACUUUUCAUCUCAUGGCUAACAAGGUUAUACCAGACUUAUCAUCUCAGAGACUAACAAGGCUAUAUAGGACUUAUUAUCUCAUGGCUAACAAGGUUAUAUCAACACUUAUCAUCUCAGAGACUAACAAGGCUAUAUAGGACUUAUUAUCUCAUGGCUAACAAGGUAAUAACAGACUUAACAUAUCAUGGCUAACAAGGUUAUACCAGACUUAUCAUCUCAGAGACUAAUAAGGCUAUAUAGGACUUAUUAUCUCAAGACUAACAAGGUUAUACCAGACUUAUCAUCUCAGAGACUAACAAG